AUGGCGCUGCGUAACCUGGUCACCAAGGUGCGGGCCCCGCUCUCCGCCGCUCUCCGGCCGCCGUCGGUAUCCCGCGGGUCGCCGGCGGUCCGCUCGUGGCCCUUCUCCGCAGCCCCCCGUCAGGGUGAACACCAUGGGAAAAGAAUUUUUGAUUUUGAGUCAGCCACUGAAGAGGAGGUCAUUCGGGAGGCAAGAUUGCUAGAUAAACAGAUUGACAAAAAUCUGUCACAUAUCAGGGAGUACGACGAGAAUGUCAUGCCAAGAGUUUUGCAGGGUAUAUAUGGAAAGGUGAAGUGGUUCUUUGGUGCUGGCGCCGUUGUCGAGCUCGUACGUCUGGGGAUUUCGGCACGUCAGGAUAGUGUUGGACAUUCGGAGUGA
rnacentral:rRNA from 1 species